CUCCGGUUGAUCCCGCCGGACCCGACUGCUAUCAGAGUGAGAUUAGGCCAUGCGAGUUAACGUAGCAAUACGUGGCGCACGGCUCAGUAACACGUAGUCAACAUGCCCAGAGGACGUGGAUAACCUCGGGAAACUGAGUCUAAACCGCGAUAAGUGAGGAUUUCUGGAAUGGUUCCUGACUAAAAUCUAUAUGGCCUCUGGAUUGGACUGCGGCCGAUCAGGCUGUUGGUGAGGUAAUGGCCCACCAAACCUGUAACCGGUACGGGCUCUGAGAGGAGGAGCCCGGAGAUGGGCACUGAGACAAGGGCCCAGGCCCUAUGGGGCGCAGCAGGCGCGAAACCUCUGCAAUAGGCGAAAGCCUGACAGGGUUACUCUGAGUGACUUUCGCUAAGAAAGUCUUUUGGCACCUCUAAAAAGGGUGCAGAAUAAGGGGUGGGCAAGUCUGGUGUCAGCCGCCGCGGUAAUACCAGCACCCCGAGUGGUCGGGACGAUUAUUGGGCCUAAAGCAUCCGUAGCCGGUUCUGCAAGUCCCCCGUUAAAUCCAGCUGCUCAACAGAUGGGCCGCGGAGGAUACUACAGAGCUAGGAGGCAGGAGAGGCAAGCGGUACUCAGUGGGUAGGGGUAAAAUCCGUUGAUCCAUUGAAGACCACCAGUGGCGAAGGCGGCUUGCCAGAAUGCGCUCGACGGUGAGGGAUGAAAGCUGGGGGAGCAAACCGGAUUAGAUACCCGGGUAGUCCCAGCCGUAAACGAUGCAGACUCGGUGAUGAGUUGGCUUAUUGCUAACUCAGUGCCGCAGGGAAGCCGUUAAGUUUGCCGCCUGGGGAGUACGGUCGCAAGACUGAAACUUAAAGGGAUUGGCGGGGGAGCA
rnacentral:rRNA from 1 species